rnacentral:tRNA from 1 species
GGGGAUUUAGCUCAGCGGUAGAGCACUUGCCUAGCAAGCUCAAGGUCCUAGGUUCAAUCCCCA